GGAGUAGUACUCAAGAGGCUGAAGAGGCGCCCCUGCUAAGGGUGUAGGUCGGGAAACUGGCGCAAGGGUUCAAAUCCCUUCUACUCCGCCA
rnacentral:tRNA from 4 species